rnacentral:lncRNA from 1 species
UAGGCUGUUAUUCGCCAAGAGACGAAAGUUGUUCUUCAGGACAUGGAGAAGGCUGAAGUGAAGCAGAUCCGCACUUCCCAUGAAUGCCUACAGAGAGAGCAUCUUCCAAAGCGACCCUACAGGAGGAAUCAAACCCAGUGUACACCAUCGUCAACUCUACCACCUCCACCCCAAACACUUUUUCCUGAAUUGUUGAAAGUAAAAACAGAAGUGGCCGCUCACCCUGGAAAGCCAAACGAUGCCCCAGUAGUGCUGCCUACUAAACAUACUCAAUACACAUCGACUUCAGGAGCUUCCAUCAAGGGCCAUCCAUUGGCCGUGAACAUGACCAGUUAUCCCCCUCUGAGCAAACCCAGCCCUGCAGGACUAAAGCCUCCACCCAAUAGGCCUGUUAUUCUUCACAGUGGGAAGACUGGAGAUGGUUAUCAGCAAUUCUAUCUGCAGACAAACAGUACAAUAUAUCCAGGUAAAACAAGAACCGCUAACUUGCAUUUUAAAGUUCACACCUAUUCUUUGAUAUGGAUGUCGUUUUUGACAAUUUGA